GUGGCCCUUCCUUAGCAGGUGGUGGAGAGAGGGGCAGUGGAGGAGCGUUAGGACGAGAUUUGGGGUCAUCCAGCCGGAGAGAGGGAGGCCGAAAGGAGAGACGUUUUCAGGAGGUGGAGGCUUCAGCAUUUGGAUGCCUGCGAGGCGGGAGAGGCCGGGGAGCCUGUCUUGUGCUGAGAGGCUGGGUAGACUGUUUUGUCCCCUACAGGCUGAUCACCAGUUCCUCUUAGGAACCGGUGAACCUCAGGGGGCCCAUUGCACAUCCAGGUGUGAAACUGCGGUGUGGCCUCCAGCCAACACAAGCCAUCAGCCCCAUGCUCAGCUCCCAGCAGGCAGAGCGUUCAGAAGCGCCAGCGCCAUCAUCUUGGGAGCCUGCAGUCCACACACCGCUGACCUUACCUACUUCCUCUUUCCAGGUCGUAGAUUACAGACUCUCCUCUGGGAAAUUGCCCCCAGAUCUAACAGGAGUACAAGAAGCUGGGUAGAUUGGAAAACAGCACCGAAUUCCCCUGGAACUGAGGACGGAAGCCUUCCCAGUCCUGCAGCCACCUGCAGACUCUCACAAGCACGGUGCUCCCGGGAGAAGACCUUGCUACCCCAGGCCCAAGGCAGUCGAGAGAAAACGGGAAGCCCUGAAGGUUUUUCACCCCGGGGGUGAGAGUGUAUGAUCGAAGAUAUAUUUGAGGGUAAUUGUACAGAUAGUCCCAACUUAGCAUUGUUCAACUUUAUGAUGGUAUGAAAGUGAUGACAUUCAGUAGAAAUUGUACUUCAAGUGCCAAUACAAUCAGUUUUUCACUUUUGGUGCAGUAUUCAAUAAAUUACAUGAGAUAUUCAACACUUUACUUUAAAAUAGGCUUUGUGUAAGAUGAUUCUGCCCAAAUGUAAGGCUGAUGCCAGUGCUCUGAGCACAUUUAAGGGAAAGCUGGGCUAAGCAAUGAUGUUCCACAAGUUAGGCAUAUUAAAUGCAUUUUUGACUUAGAAUAUUCUCAACUUGCAAUGGGUUUAUCAGAACAUGACAUCGUUAAUCACUCAAGGAGCAUCUGUACCACUAAUGACAUAGAUGCUGGUUGCAGGAAGGCAGCCAGAGGAGGGCACAGUGUGGAAGAACUCAACUUUUUAAAGACAGAGAUCAGCUUUAAAUAUUGCUAAGAAAGAACUUGGAGAGAGAAGUUGGUGAUACCGGAGACAGCAGGCAACAGACAGAGUGAGAGGCCCGAAGAACAAGAGGAGGAGGGAGUCUCUUCUGGGAGCAGAAGGAGUGUCGACUUAAAUAUUAGGGAGCCAAAGAUGAACCUCGCAGAGAACCUGCAAAACCCAGUUGCAGAAAUACCUGCCCACACCUAAAAACUCAGUCACUGAAAGUCUGAAGUCAAAUGAUUAUGUGAAAUCUUAGUAGUGGGUACAUGUGGUUUCAUUAGAUUAUUCUUUGUAUCUAUAUUUGUACUAUCUUAUAAGCACUAUAAGUUUUAAAACCAUACAAGAGGCUCUAUGGAAAAUAAAUUGGACUUCAUUAAAAUUCAAAACGUG
rnacentral:lncRNA from 1 species